GAUGAACGCUGGCGGCGUGCCUAAUACAUGCAAGUCGAGCGAACAGACGAGGAGCUUGCUCCCCUGACGUUAGAGGCGGACGGGAGAGUAACAUGUGGAUAACCUACCUAUAAGACUGGGAUAACAUCGGGAAACCGGAUCUAAUAACGGAUAAUAUAUUGAACUGCAUGGUUCAAUAGUGAAAGUAGGUUUUGCUGUCACUUAUAGAUGGAUAAGCGCCUCAUUAGCUAGUUGGUAAGGUAACUGCUUACCAAGGCAACGAGGCGUAGCCGACCUGAGCGGGUGAUCGGCUACCCUGUAACAGAGACACAGCCGAGACUCUUACGGUGAGCAACAGUAGGGAAUCUUCCGGGAGGCAGCAGUGCCUGACAGUGCAACACGGCGUGAAUCAUGAUGGUGUUCUGAUCGGAAAGCGCUGUUGUUAUGAAGGAACAAAAGUGUAAGUAACUGGGCUCGUCUUGACGGUACCUAGUCAGAAAGCCACGGCUAACUACGUG
rnacentral:rRNA from 1 species